rnacentral:sRNA from 1 species
ACCAUGAAACCGAAGGGGCGUACGUUUGGAGGACGGAUGGACCAAUGAGCCAAGAGCUUGAUUCCGCCAUCGUGAACCAAGGGAAUCGUACGAUCUCCAAUCUCUAUCGUGGGACUUAGACUAGUGGGGUUGGUUGCUUGUAUGGCUAAGUAACGAUACGGAUUGGUUCAUAAAUUCACGAUCGGAUACGAGUCGUUGAACGAAUGGAGUAAGGCGACAAACGGGCUAAGGAAUCAAAUCCGCAUAUG